GACGAACGCUGGCGGCGUGCUUAACACAUGCAAGUCGAACGAUGAAGAAAAGAAUCGCAGCUUCGGCAGAAAUUCAUUUCGGAUUAGUGGCAGACGGGUGAGUAACGCGUGAGCAACCUACCUCUUACAAAGGGAUAGCCUCGGGAAACCGGGAUUAAUACCAUAUAACAUCGCGACGAAGCAUUUCGAUGCAAUCAAAGCUACGGCGGUAAGAGAUGGGCUCGCGUCCCAUUAACCGGAUGGUGAGGUAACGGCUCACCAUAGUGACGAUGGGUAACCGGCCUGAGAGGGUGAACGGUCACACUGGAACUGAGACACGGUCCAGACUCCUACGGGAGGCAGCAGUGGGGAAUAUUGCACAAUGGAGGGAACUCUGAUGCAGCGACGCCGCGUGAGUGAUGAAGGAAUUCGUUUCGUAAAACUCUGUUCUAUGGGAAGAAAAGGACUGUACCAUAGGAGAAAGCGCCGGCUAAAUACGUG
rnacentral:rRNA from 1 species